rnacentral:misc_RNA from 1 species
AAUUUUCUAUAAAAAAAAAAAAAUUGUGUAGUGAUAAGCCAUUACCAUUAUGUUACGUCCAUUACAGGCCUAUUUCUGUUACAUGCAAACGCAACCAUGAAUGCAAACGCUACUGCUACUGUGAUUUAAAUCCAUGAUAUGGAUUCUUUUUUGUCCUUUAGCUUUGUUUGAUACCAAUUCUGCAUCAAUUUUCAAAAAUUAUAGAUCUUUUACACUAUUGCCCUUCACAUCAUUUUAGGUCUCACCUUUCUCCUCUCACUCUUUCCACCACUAAUUUAUCAGGCCUAUGUACUAGAGCAUUUGAUUAUCUACGUUAGACAUGAUCAAACCAUUUUAAUCUACACUCUCUCAUUUUUAUUCUCAAUGUUUUGCAUUCAUUCUCUAGCAGAUGAGGUUGUUCCUACUCUUAUUUGCUAUCGUAAUACUAGACAUUCAUCUUAACAUUCGCAUCUUUGCCACACUCAUCUUGUGGAUAUAUUAUACCUUAGAUGCUCAAUAUUCACUCAUACAACAUAGUUGGCUUGAUCGUUGUUCUAUAGAACUUGCCUUUCACUU